rnacentral:rRNA from 1 species
AGCAGUAGCCGCGGGAAUACAGAGGGUGCGAGCGUUAAUCGGAUUUACUGGGCGUAAAGCGUGCGUAGGCGGCUUCUUAAGUCGGAUGUGAAAUCCCUGAGCUUAACUUAGGAAUUGCAUUCGAUACUGGGAAGCUAGAGUAUGGGAGAGGAUGGUAGAAUUCCAGGUGUAGCGGUGAAAUGCGUAGAGAUCUGGAGGAAUACCGAUGGCGAAGGCAGCCAUCUGGCCUAAUACUGACGCUGAGGUACGAAAGCAUGGGGAGCAAACAGGAUUAGAUACCCCGGUAGUCCCUGUCUCUUAUAA